GUUAUAGAUGCUUUAUAGUGUAAAGGACUUCUAAGCCGUCGGUCGGGGGUUCGAAUCCCUCUUGCAACGCCA
rnacentral:tRNA from 1 species